rnacentral:sRNA from 1 species
AUGAACUGUUAGGUGAGACUCCUACGUGAACAUAUGCUAUCGCCCGGAAACAUCCAGCCAACGAGUUAAAUAGUUUCCGUCGACAUAAGGCGGUAACCAGAUAGCUAGCUUUAAGCUUACGUUGCGUAGUGUUAAAACUGAACGAUGAGUA